UGGACAUCAUUUGAAUGCAUGUGGCCUAAUUCUCAACCAUCUAAGAGUUUCCUACAUAGGGAGUGAAAGAAGAAGGAGCUAGUUCCGGUUCACAACACAAGGCUCAAGAACGAGGUAAAUCUCAUGCUUAAGUGUUUCGGCCCCUUUCUCGGAUCGAACACGCACCUUGUCAACCUCAUAUGCGCUUCCGGUUUAAGUCGCUCACUUGAAAUGGGUCAAAAAAGGUUUUGUAAUGUAAUGUUAAGUUAAUUUAGGAU
rnacentral:lncRNA from 1 species